AAAAAAUGAAUAAUGUUUUUGUAAUUGUUGAAUGCCUAAGAACAAAAAUUAAUUUAGUUUCGCUUUUAGUUGGUGAUAUAUGUCCAGAUAUGUUGUGCAUAAGCGAACAACACUUACUAAUUCUAGAGCAAGAAUGCUAUACCGGUAGUACAAUAAAAAACUUAAAAUUCGCUACUGGCUUUUUUCGUUCUGCAUAUAGAUAGAAAUGGUGAAACCGCAAUCUAUUUGAAAGAAGGUCUUGAAUACAGUCUGCUGGAUCUAAGUCACUAUUGUGCUUAACCUGAUAUCGAACUGGCAGUAGUAAGAGUAGAAAGUUACUAUGUUUUAAUUGUAUCAGUUUACCGCUUUCCAAAUAGUGACUUGUAAAGUAUCCAGGAUUAUGGAUACAUGCCGGUCAACUUUGAACAACUUACAAAAGUAUUUGAGGGUGUUUUCCCUUCAAAAGUUCGUAAGUAAAACAGUAUUCAGCGCCAGAAUCCAAGGCAAAAUAAGUCCUGGUAUAGACCCAGGCUUUUUACCUC